CAAUAGCGUAUAUUAAAGUUGUUGCGGUUAAAAAGCUCGUAGUUGGAUUUCAGUCCGCGAGGACCGGGCCCUCGGGCUCCAGGUCGUCUCGGGCACCUCCUAGUGGGCGCGGCCUUCGCUGGUUCGCGCGCUCUGGGGCGUUUACUUUGAGGAAAUUAGAGUGUUUCAAGCAGGCAACUGCCUUGAAUACAUUAGCAUGGAAUAAUAAUAUAGGACUUCGGUUCUAUGUUGUUGGUUUCUGGAGCUGAAGUAAUGAUUAAUAGGGAUAGUCGGGGGCAUUCGCACUUAACUGUCAGGGGUGGAAUUCUUGGAUUUGUUAAAGACGAACUACUGCGAAAGCAUUUGCCAAGGAUGUUUUCAUUGA
rnacentral:rRNA from 1 species